UAAGAAUGAAAGGAUGGUGUCAACUUGCUCCAAUGUCAUGUAUACCUGGUAGGCACUCCAUAAACAUUUGUUAACUUUUCCAUUAGAUUUAAAAAUGAAAUUUCCAAGUUAAACCAAUGUAUUAACUUGUAUUUAACUAAGAAUAUGAAACAAUGAAGGUUGCACUUCAGAAGCUAUCUAUAGUUACUAAUGAACUUUUAGAAUUUUUACUUUGUACAAAAGGUUUUAAUAAGUGAAGUCACAGAUACCCAAACACUGAAGUUGGAUUCAGAGGAGACACAGUUUGUUUCAUGGCCAUGCAUUUGAAGUGAUCACAUCAUCUUCAGUGAUUUAAGAUGUCAGAUGACAACUAUGAUUUUUUCAAAGCAUUUUAGGAUAGCUUGACCUUUAUUUUUCACAGAAUAAAGAUGUCUUUUGACCUCAGAUUUCCCCACAAAACCUGGGCCCAGUAAUCAGUAGUUAGAAAUGAGGGCAGUGAUAAUUUGUAAUUCAAAUGCAAGCAUUUCAUCUGAGCAUAACCAGAUUUACUUACCUGAGGAUAAAGUAGUGUAAGACAAAAUCAGGGUAAAAAGGGAGGAAGAAAAAUGAACCAUUUUGGUCUUGUAACCAUCACUUAGCUCUGGCAUGCACACAGGGAAGUAUGCCUGCUUCCUAAUGAAUACUAUCUUGUCUCUUCCAGUUGUCAUUUGAUGUCUCCAAAUACUGUUCAUACCAUAAGCAGCAACUCUGUGAAAUUUCCAUCAACAAAAAGCCUGGCAGGCACAGUGCUAUGUGUAGACUGGAUUGAAUCAAAGCAACAUUCUCCUACUUUUCCCGUGUAUAGGAAGUGAUACUAACAAGAAUCAGAUUUUCCUGGACCCGUAACAGAGGAAACAACUUCUGGCACAGUAAUUCUUUGAACUGGAACCAUGAGGGCAAGUACUAACGUAUCCUUCUAUUGCAUACAAUGCCUUAUGCACCAAAGCAGUUUUUUUGACUGUUGAAAUGGACUGAAUCAGAUUUGUGGUACUAAAUUUUUUAGGGUAUGUGAAUAUUUUGAUUUAUUUUGAAAGAUUCUGUGUUCACAAUUCAUCUGGUCAGAUCAGGAGUUUUGAUUUUGAUUCUAUGUAAUUUACUUAUGGAAUGGAUUUAAGACAGAUGUUUAGGAAGAGGUUUUAUAAAUAUUUGCACUUGAUCAGAAGAAGAAGACAACUAAUAAUCCAAGAAUAUUAAUAAUCCAAUAAUGCAAUCUUGUAUUGUUGGAUUAGUAUUUGUUAAGCACCCACAGGAUUUGGAGUAAGAAGCCUAGAGCCCGUGAUCUGCCAUUGAUUAGUUGAGUGACCUGAAGCAACAUAAUUAACCUCUGAGAAACUCGCUUUCCUCAUCUGUAAAAAUGGGGCUAAUUAUACCAACCUCAAACGGUUGUUAAGGUUCAAAGGAUAUCAUGGAAGUAAAUGUGCUUUUCAAACUGUACAGUUGCUAAAAUCAUGUAAUAUAAUAUCAUUUUAUUUCCAUUAGGCUGUGAGUUCUUUUAGGGCUAGGAUCAUGUAUGCAUCUUUAUAAAAAUUUCUACACUUAACAAUAUUUCUGUCAUAUACCAGGUGCUCAAUAAAUGUAGAAUGGAUGCACAAAUGAAUAAAUUCAGGAUAUUAGAGCCACAAAAUUUCCUCUGAUCCUUACUCUCAGACAACUCACAGUC